GCCCGGGUGGUCUAGUGGGUUAGUUAUCCCUUCUCCAAUUAUCUCUAUAACCCUUUACUAAUUAAAUUAUCAGUAUGAUUCUCGCUUAGGGUUCACCCUUAGCAUAUAUGCGAGAGGUCCCGCGUUCGAUCCGCGGCUCGGGCC